GACGAACGCUGGCGGCGCGCCUAACACAUGCAAGUCGAACGGAGCUGAGAGAAGCUUGCUUUUCUUAGCUUAGUGGCGAACGGGUGAGUAACGCGUGAGUAACCUGCCCUGGAGUGGGGGACAACAGUUGGAAACGACUGCUAAUACCGCAUAAGCCCACGAUCCGGCAUCGGAUUGAGGGAAAAGGAUUUAUUCGCUUCAGGAUGGACUCGCGUCCAAUUAGCUAGUUGGUGAGGUAACGGCCCACCAAGGCGACGAUUGGUAGCCGGACUGAGAGGUUGAACGGCCACAUUGGGACUGAGACACGGCCCAGACUCCUACGGGAGGCAGCAGUGGAGGAUAUUGCACAAUGGGGGAAACCCUGAUGCAGCGACGCCGCGUGGAGGAAGAAGGUUUUCGGAUUGUAAACUCCUGUCGUGAGGGACGAUAAUGACGGUACCUAACAAGAAAGCACCGGCUAACUACGUG
rnacentral:rRNA from 1 species